GCCUUCGUGGUGUAGUGGUCAGCACUCAGUAUUCCAGAGGUCCGUGGUUCGAGUCCCGGCGAAGGCU
rnacentral:tRNA from 1 species